rnacentral:lncRNA from 1 species
GUGAAGAAGACAAACAGUUCCUUUUACAGUUGGACCAAUAGAAUUGAGAUGGCACACAAAGUGGGUCCUAUGUUUAUACUAUUGGGCUGUCACGGCCCAUCUUUAAAAUGUCGAAGCAUCCACGACAUAGACGGUGACACAUGGAGAAAAUGUUCGCCGGCCAAGAUUGCGACCACGUCAUCGAAACUUCUGAGUGUUCCACCUGUCAAAGCUACCGUCAAAGAUUACGAUCUUUUGUUUUAUUGUUGUGUGCGCGUAGUCAUGUAAACGCCACAAAAACAAAA